rnacentral:rRNA from 1 species
AUUGAACGCUGGCGGCAGGCCUAACACAUGCAAGUCGAACGAGCGGCGGACGGGUGAGUAAUGUCUGGGUAACUUCCCGAUGGAGGGGGAUAACUACUGGAAACGGUAGCUAAUCCCGCAUACCAUCGUCUGUUCCCAGUUGGGAUUAGCUAGUAGGUGGGGUAACGGCUCACCUAGGCGACGAUCCCUAGCUGGUCUGAGAGGCUGACCAGCCACACUGGAACUGAGACACGGUCCAGACUCCUACGGGAGGCAGCAGUGGGGAAUAUUGCACAAUGGGCGCAAGCCUGAUGCAGCCAUGCCGCGUGUAUGAAGAAGGUCUUCGGGUUGUAAAGUACUGUUAGCGAGGAGGCGUUACUCGCAGAAGAAGCACCGGCUAACUCCGUGCCAGCAGCCGCGGUAAUAC